GUGGGGGAGGGGAAACCAGAGGGCGUUGGGCGAUAAAUGAGGAAUACGAGGAAAAGGGCGCCGGUGAAAUGGGUGUGAGGAAAAAGCGUGAAAGGGGAGACUGUAAAAUGGGUGCAAGACGGACGGGCUGAGGGCAUCCAUGAGGGGAAGUAAGAAAUGGAGUGACCCGGAGAGGGGCAGAAUUGGAGUCGAGAAGGGGGAAGAGAGGAGAAAUAAGGCACCUGAAACAAGAUAUAUAUAUAUAUCAAGAUCAGGCUUGUUUCAGAUAUAUAUAUGUCUUCCUCCAUGGAGCUGAAGGUGUGCUACAAGGAGGUCUCCCGUCCAGGCAGAGACCGGACUCAAGAUCUGGCUUGCUUCAGCAAAAGUGGCUGCUUCAUGUACCUUAUUUCUCCUCUCUUCCCCCUUCUUCACUCCAGUUCUGCCCCUCUCCCGGCCACUCCAUCUCUUACUUACUUGUCUAUCUAUAACCCGAUUUCCUUUUUUGUUCCUCUUUCUUAUACUUCCCGGGCACCCAGAAUCCAUUGAACACCACCUGGCCCAGUUUCCACCAGUCGUCUUCGCGUUUGUAUACCACCCUUAUCUUCACAGAAGCUCAAGGUGGUGUGCAUGGUUCUCUCCAUUUCACCCCCCACAACACCCCUGUGGGGUGGGUUAGGAUAAGAGAUUGUGUCUGGUCCAAGGUCACCCAGUGAGUUCCAGACCCUGUCUGCAGACUGUCUCGCCAGAGUGGUGCAUGCUCUAGUUAUCUUCCGCUUGGACUACUGCAAUGCGCUCUACGUGGGGCUACCUUUGAAGAUGACCCGGAAACUACAAUUAAUCCAGAAUGCGGCAGCUAGACUGGUGACUGGGAGUGGCCGCCGGGACCACAUAACACCGGUCCUGAGAGAUUUGCAUUGGCUCCCAGUACAUUUCCGAGCACAAUUCAAAGUGUUGGUGCUGACCUUUAAAGCCCUAAACGGCCUCAGUCCUGUAUCCCUGAAGGAGCGUCUCCACCCCCAUCGUUCAGCCCGGACACUGAGGUCCAGCACCUAUGGCCUUCUGGCGGUUCCCUCACUGCGAGAGGUGAGGUUACAGGGAACCAGACAGAGGGCCUUCUCGGUAGUGGCGCCCGCCCUGUGGAAUGCCCUCCCUUCAGAUGUGAAGGAGAUAAGUAGCUAUCUUAUCUUUAAAAGACAUCUGAAGGCAGCCCUGUUUAGGGAAGUUUUUAAUAUUUAAUGCUGUAUUGUUUUUAACACUUGAUUGGAAGCCUCCCAGAGUGGCUUGGGAAACUCAGC
rnacentral:lncRNA from 1 species